UACGGGGGGGGGCAAGCGUUGUUCGGAAUUACUGGGCGUAAAGGGCUCGUAGGUGGCCAACUAAGUCAGACGUGAAAUCCCUCGGCUUAACCGGGGAACUGCGUCUGAUACUGGAUGGCUUGAGUUCGGGAGAGGGAUGCGGAAUUCCAGGUGUAGCGGUGAAAUGCUUAGAUAUGACAUAGAACACCAAUUGCGAAGGCAGCUGGCUACACAUAUAUUGACACUGAGGCACGAAAGCGUGGGGAUCAAACAGG
rnacentral:rRNA from 1 species